rnacentral:rRNA from 3 species
AGUGCGGCUGGAUCACCUCCUUAGAGUUUGAUCCUGGCUCAGGACGAAACGCUGGCGGCGUGCUUAACACAUGCAAGUCGAACGCUGAAGCUUGGUGCUUGCACUGGGUGGAUGAGUGGCGAACGGGUGAGUAAUACGUGAGUAACCUGCCCUUGACUCUGGGAUAAGCCUGGGAAACUGGGUCUAAUACUGGAUACGACAUGUCACCGCAUGGUGGUGUGUGGAAAGGGUUUUACUGGUUUUGGAUGGGCUCACGGCCUAUCAGCUUGUUGGUGGGGUAAUGGCUCACCAAGGCGACGACGGGUAGCCGGCCUGAGAGGGUGACCGGCCACACUGGGACUGAGACACGGCCCAGACUCCUACGGGAGGCAGCAGUGGGGAAUAUUGCACAAUGGGCGAAAGCCUGAUGCAGCGACGCCGCGUGAGGGAUGACGGCCUUCGGGUUGUAAACCUCUUUCAGCACGGAAGAAGCGAAAGUGACGGUACGUGCAGAAGAAGCGCCGGCUAACUACGUGCCAGCAGCCGCGGUAAUACGUAGGGCGCAAGCGUUGUCCGGAAUUAUUGGGCGUAAAGAGCUCGUAGGCGGUUUGUCGCGUCUGCUGUGAAAGCCCGGGGCUUAACCCCGGGUGUGCAGUGGGUACGGGCAGACUUGAGUGCAGUAGGGGAGACUGGAAUUCCUGGUGUAGCGGUGAAAUGCGCAGAUAUCAGGAGGAACACCGAUGGCGAAGGCAGGUCUCUGGGCUGUUACUGACGCUGAGGAGCGAAAGCAUGGGGAGCGAACAGGAUUAGAUACCCUGGUAGUCCAUGCCGUAACGUUGGGCACUAGGUGUGGGGAACAUUCCACGUUUUCCGCGCCGUAGCUAACGCAUUAAGUGCCCCGCCUGGGGAGUACGGCCGCAAGGCUAAAACUCAAAGGAAUUGACGGGGGCCCGCACAAGCGCGGAGCAUGCGGAUUAAUUCGAUGCAACGCGAAGAACCUUACCAAGGCUUGACAUACACCGGACCGGGCCAGAGAUGGUCUUUCCCCCUUGUGGGGCUGGUGUACAGGUGGUGCAUGGUUGUCGUCAGCUCGUGUCGUGAGAUGUUGGGUUAAGUCCCGCAACGAGCGCAACCCUCGUUCUAUGUUGCCAGCACGUGAUGGUGGGACUCAUAGGAGACUGCCGGGGUCAACUCGGAGGAAGGUGGGGAUGACGUCAAAUCAUCAUGCCCCUUAUGUCUUGGGCUUCACGCAUGCUACAAUGGCCAGUACAAUGGGUUGCGAUGCCGCGAGGUGGAGCUAAUCCCAAAAAGCUGGUCUCAGUUCGGAUCGUGGUCUGCAACUCGACCACGUGAAGUCGGAGUCGCUAGUAAUCGCAGAUCAGCAACGCUGCGGUGAAUACGUUCCCGGGCCUUGUACACACCGCCCGUCAAGUCACGAAAGUUGGUAACACCCGAAGCCGGUGGCCUAACCCUUGUGGGGGGAGCCGUCGAAGGUGGGACUGGCGAUUGGGACUAAGUCGUAACAAGGUAGCCGUACCGGAAGGUGCGGCUGGAUCACCUCCUUAGAGUUUGAUCCUGGCUCAGGUU